UACGUAGGUGGCGAGCGUUGUCCGGAAUUAUUGGGCGUAAAGAGCUCGUAGGCGGCCUGUUGCGUCCGCUGUGAAAGCCCGGGGCUUAACCCCGGGUCGGCAGUGGAUACGGGCAGGCUAGAGGUAGGUAGGGGAGAAUGGAAUUCCCGGUGUAGCGGUGAAAUGCGCAGAUAUCGGGAGGAACACCGGUGGCGAAGGCGACUACCUGGCCUGUUCUUGACGCUGAGGCGCGAAAGCUAGGGGAGCAAACGGG
rnacentral:rRNA from 1 species